UUCUCUGGGAUUGCUCAGUCAGCAGAGUAUAAGACUCUUAAUUUCAGGGUCAUGGGUUCAAGCCCCAUGCUGGGAAA